rnacentral:rRNA from 1 species
UACGUAGGGCGCAAGCGUUGUCCGGAAUUAUUGGGCGUAAAGAGCUCGUAGGCGGCUUGUCACGUCGGAUGUGAAAGCCCGGGGCUUAACCCCGGGUCUGCAUUCGAUACGGGCUAGCUAGAGUGUGGUAGGGGAGAUCGGAAUUCCUGGUGUAGCGGUGAAAUGCGCAGAUAUCAGGAGGAACACCGGUGGCGAAGGCGGAUCUCUGGGCCAUUACUGACGCUGAGGAGCGAAAGCGUGGGGAGCAAACAGG